GGCCGCUUCCAGCUGGUGCACGGCGCCGGCUCCUCGGCGCGCCGGGCGUGCGGCUGCUGCAGGACGCCUUCCGCAGGUGAGCGGCGCGGGCCGCGGGCGGGGGCUGCAGGGCGGCGGGGGCGGGAGCAGCCGCCUCAUGGCCCCGGCGGCGCCUGUGCUUCCCGGCAGGUACUACGAGUACAUUUUUUCGGGCAUUCCCGGCGGCGGAGGUGGGGCCGAAGGCCGCUGGCUGCCCGAGCGGAGCCCGAGCUGUCUGAGCUGCAGGUGGUGAUCGAGGCGCCGGACCCCGGCUGUGACAGCUUCCCGCACCUCGGCUCCAGCGAGGCCUAUCAUUUAACUGUAACUGAGCCUGUGGCUGUACUGAAAGCUUAUGAGGUAUGGGGUGCUUUAAGAGGUAAGUUGCUACUUUUCAUAUAGAGCUGUUUGGUAGGUCUUACACAAACUUCAUGGCAGACUAAGAACCAGCUGAUCACUGAGCUGUGCCCUCAUUCAGUAUGUCAUUGGAAGUAAGCUUGGUCAGGCCAGAAGGAUACUCAGAUGUUGUUGGUUUGAUGCUCCAUAUCUCAGAUCCAGUGGCGCACCGUAAGUGCACUCUCGCUUGCCUGAAAUCAGCCAGGCCAAGCAAACCCUGGGUGCUAAAAAGCUCUCUGAUCUAUAGUGUAAACAGAUUAUUCUCUGACUGCACCUAAUAACUUGACAUACUGAACACAUUACCACGAAGAUCAUAAGCUGAAGUUUCAGCCUGCUGUUCUUACUGCAAUGUUACACCAACAGAUUUUGCUCUCAGUAACUUUCUUACUAUUCAAGGAUUAAUUUGCUACCACUGAGCUGUAGUGAUAGUAUUCAGUAUCUGUGUGUAAUGGAGAAUUUGAAUGGUUCUGUCUUCGGAAUUUUUAAAACAGUGGUGCUUGAGCAAUUAAGGAAACUGUGCUGAAAAGAAGGAAACUCAGCUAUAAAGCAUUCUUUCUUGCUUUGUGAAUGCCUGUAAAUAGUUGUGGUCCUGUUUUUAACUAAAACUUUAAGGGCAAGUACUGGGUUGUAUUCCACAUCCCUUUCUUGGAUAUUUUUCCAGGUUUGGAAACCUUCAGCCAGUUGGUUCAUGAAGAUGACUAUGGAAGUGUAAGUAUUAACUAAAACCACUGUCCUGAUUAUAGACAAACAGAUUCUUUACUGGAUGCUUUUCUAGAAACAACAGAUUUACCCGUUUCAUUCAGUAACUUUUCAGUUUGUUAACAGAUUUCCUAGAAACAUUUUCUGAAAAAAAAUGUAUUUCCUGUUUGAAAUUAUGAAUAUUAAAUGGGAGUUCUGAUUUUUAAAUUUUGUUCUCAUAGUUUCUUGUCAAUGAAUCUGAAAUCAAUGACUUUCCAAGAUUUGCACAUAGAGGAAUCUUACUAGACACUUCAAGGCAUUAUUUACCAUUGAAAUCUAUUCUUACAAACCUGGUAAGUGGGCAGUUUUGUAUCAUUAUAAUGAAGGCUCUUUGUUGUUGUGUUUUGUCCCCUGAAGUAGGUAGCAACUGGAGCUGAUAUGAAAGAAAAACCCACCUCCUCUGGCUGACUUCUAAAAGGACAGAGUGAACUUUGUUAAGCAAAGGUCAGAACAGACUGGAGAGGAAUCAAGUAGGCAGACACAAUGAUUAGUGAAUCUGUAAUGGGGGCUGGGAUUUGUGGUACCUUGGAUUCUCCGUAUUUUUUGUUGCCCAAGCCAGCUAAUGUUUUACUUCUUGGAAGCAUAUUCUGAGACAUCUGACUGUCACCAAGCAAUACAUAGGAGACCUUGCAAGUUCUAGCUUCAGUGCCAGUGAUUUCAGGAAAAUUCCCAUCUUUUCAGUAGCCAGGCUUUGGUAGUCCUUUUCUUAGGCUGCUAAGAGCAAGCCACUGAUUAAGUAUUACAGAGCAAGAGAGAAAUUUGGUAAUGUUCACUGGAAGCUCCUGAAAAGAAAACCCCAGGCAAACAAAACAAACAAACAACAACAAAACACAAAACAAAUAAAACUUUCUCCAAAAAGCUUAUGUAAGCA
rnacentral:lncRNA from 1 species